rnacentral:rRNA from 3 species
UUUUAAAUGGCCGCAGUAUUUUGACUGUGCAAAGGUAGCAUAAUCAUUAGUUUUUUAAUUAAAAGCUUGUAUGAAAGGUUGGACGAGGUAAAAUCUGUCUCUAUUUAAAUUAUAGUAGAAUUUAACUUUUAAGUUAAAAGGCUUAAAUAUUAUUAAAAGACGAGAAGACCCUAUAGAUCUUUAUAGUUUAUUAAAUUAAAUUAAUUUAGAAAUAUUAAUGUUUUAUUUAAUUAAAUUAUUUUAUUGGGGUAAUAAAAAGAUUGAGUUAAUUCUUUUUUACAAUAAACAUUAAUUUAUGAAUAUUAAUGAUCCAGUUUUACUGAUUAUAAGAUUAAGUUACCUUAGGGAUAACAGCGUAAUUUUUUUAGAGAGUUCAUAUCGAUAAAAAAGUUUGCGACCUCGAUGUUGGAUUAAAGAUUAUUUUAGGUGUAGAAGCUUAAUAAUUUUGGUCUGUUCGACCAUUAAAUCUUUACAUGAUCUGAGUUCAGACCGGCGUAAGCCAGGUCGGUUUCUAUCUUUAAUAAAAUAAAAUAUUUUAGUACGAAAGGACCAAAUAUUUGAUAUAUUUAUAUUUAAUUUAUUGAAUAUUA